GAUGAACGCUGGCGGCGUGCCUAACACAUGCAAGUCGAGCGAAGCACUUUGCUUAGAUUCUUCGGAUGAAGAGGAUUGUGACUGAGCGGCGGACGGGUGAGUAACGCGUGGGUAACCUGCCUCAUACAGGGGGAUAACAGUUAGACAUGACUGCUAAUACCGCAUAAGACCACAGCACCGCAUGGUGCGGGGGUAAAAACUCCGGUGGUAUGAGAUGGACCCGCGUCUGAUUAGCUAGUUGGUAAGGUAACGGCUUACCAAGGCGACGAUCAGUAGCCGACCUGAGAGGGUGACCGGCCACAUUGGGACUGAGACACGGCCCAAACUCCUACGGGAGGCAGCAGUGGGGAAUAUUGCACAAUGGGGGAAACCCUGAUGCAGCGACGCCGCGUGAGCGAAGAAGUAUUUCGGUAUGUAAAGCUCCAUCAGCAGGGAAGAAAAUGACGGUACCUGACUAAGAAGCACCGGCUAAAUACGUGCCAGCAGCCGCGGUAACACGUAUGGUGCAAGCGUUAUCCGGAUUUACUGGGUGUAAAGGGAGCGUAGACGGAUGGGCAAGUCUGAUGUGAAAACCCGGGGCUCAACCCCGGGACUGCAUUGGAAACUGUUCAUCUAGAGUGCUGGAGAGGUAAGUGGAAUUCCUAGUGUAGCGGUGAAAUGCGUAGAUAUUAGGAGGAACACCAGUGGCGAAGGCGGCUUACUGGACAGUAACUGACGUUGAGGCUCGAAAGUGUGGGGAGCAAACAGG
rnacentral:rRNA from 1 species